CGAAUCGUUCGUGCUGCAUCAGAAGAUCAUUUAUUCCAUGAGCUUGGGAAGCGGUGGAUUGCAGGAGCAACUAGCUUCCUGUGUUGGACUCGGCCCUGAUGAAAAAAGGAGUAGCUCUACUUCUCAUUUUUGUAGUCGUCAAAAUCAUGGUCUUUGAGGAUUCUGGUAACUCUACUUCUCAUCUUUUUCAGGUGUUGUUCGAGCCCGUAUAUACUCAACUUGGGAUUCUUCCUACUUAUACAUGAGUGCCUAGCUGCUAUUUAUUUUCAUUCAUGCCUGAUAUGUUGAUUUUUAUAGAGAAUUUAAAUGUGAAUUGACAUGUUAUGAUUAAGAGUAAAUUUCCGA